rnacentral:rRNA from 1 species
CAGUAGCCGCGGUAAGACAGAGGAUGCAAGCGUUAUCCGGAAUGAUUGGGCGUAAAGCGUGCGUAGGCGGCUUCUUAAGUCGGAUGUGAAAUCCCUGAGCUUAACUUAGGAAUUGCAUUCGAUACUGGGAAGCUAGAGUAUGGGAGAGGAUGGUAGAAUUCCAGGUGUAGCGGUGAAAUGCGUAGAGAUCUGGAGGAAUACCGAUGGCGAAGGCAGCCAUCUGGCCUAAUACUGACGCUGAGGUACGAAAGCAUGGGGAGCAAACAGGAUUAGAUACCCCUGUAGUCCCUGUCUCUUAUAA